UACACCACAGGGAAGAAAUAAUUACAAAACUUCUUCUUAGAUUGCAGAUAAAAGCAAGAUUGUCACUUGAACCUAUACUCAGGUUGAUUGCAGCCUUGUCCAGAGAUCUCCUGGACUACUUCUGUCUCUUUCUGCCGAGGAUUACUGAAGAUUUAGUGACUGCUCAAAACUGGUGCUGAAAAGGAACCAGAUAUACUUGAGCAG